rnacentral:sRNA from 1 species
UGAUAUAGGUGUCAAAAGUCAAAAAUGUGUACAUGCUUGCAUGUUAAGCAUUUUGACUUUAUGACCCGAACAAAUAUGAGGAAUUAGCAAUUUACGUAGUAAAUUAGCGGUUUCCGAAUAUUUGUAGAAUUGCGAAAAUGACGUUAGUCAUGGAGCAAUUCGUAUAUCA